rnacentral:rRNA from 1 species
AAAAGACAUAGACUUACUGGAAAUAAUUUCUUGUGAUUAGACUAUACUUGAAACCGACUCUGGUGAAAAGGCAGGUAAUCUGCUAUGUCGUUUGAGAAAAUCAUUUUGAAGGAACUCGGCAAAUUUACUCUGUAUCUUCGGUAAAAAGAGUACCCUUUAGGGUGUCACUAAAAAGAGGGCUGCGACUAGUUAAUAAAACUACAAAAAAAUGCAAAUUCGUGAGAAGAAGUAUAUUUUUUGACACCUGCCCAGCACUAGAAGUAAACAGGACAUGUGAAAGCAUGAAAUGGAAUCUAUAGUAAACGGCAGACCUAACUCUAAGGUUUCUAAGGUAGCGAAAUUCCUUGACGUCUAAUUAGCGUCCUGCAUGAAUGGUGUAACGAUGGCCCUGCUGUCUCCAAAAUGAGCUCAGCGAAAUUGAAUUCUCCGUGAAGAUGCGGAGUAUCAACAAUCAGACGGUAAGACCCCGUGCAGCUUUACUACAAGUUUCCACUGGUAAAAAAAAAGAAGUGUAUAGCAUAGGUGGAAAAAAUUUAACAAAAUUUUAAAAUUGGAAUACCACUCUCUUCUAUUUUUUUACCUCAUUUUUAAGAUAAUGGAUGCUGGGUAGUUUCACUGGGGCGGUGACCUCCUAAAAAGUAACGGAGGUGUACGAAGGUAAGUUCAGGUUGGUCGGAAAUCAACUAUGGAGUAAAAUGGCAAACACUUGCCUGACUGGAAGACUUACAAGUCAAUCAGAGACGAAAGUCGGUCAUAUUGAUCCGGGAGUUCUGAGUGGAAAGACUCUCGCUCAACGGACAAAGCUACGCCGGGGAUAACAGGCUGAUGAAUUCGGAGAGCCCUUAUCGAUGAAUUCGUUUGGCACCUCGAUGUCGUCUCAUCACAUCCUGGUAGUGCAGAAGCUUCCAAGGGUUCGGCUGUUCGCCGAUUAAAGUGGUACGUGAGAUGGGUUUAGAACGUCGUGAGACAGUUCGGUUCCUAUCUGUUGUUGGAUAUAAAAAAAUAAGCGAUUGUGAUUUCUUGUACGAGAGGACCGAAAUUACUCAACCUAUGGUUUACGAUGGUUAAACUAAAAGCCUUGUCGAAUAGCUACGUUGAAUAUAGAGAACUGCUGAAAGCAUCUAAGCAGGAAACUUUAUUGCUCUAAAUU